AUGUUGGUUGUAUUUUGUUCCUGCUCUGCCAUUAUUCUGCUCCUUACCACGUGUUCACUACGUGUCUUUGCCAGAUUUUGCGUACCAUGCUUCUUGCGUGUUCUCCUCUGCUACCUUACCCCAAACUUCCAAUUUCUUUCCCCAAAUCGCGAAAUCCAGCGGCAGAUCCCCAAAUCAAGAACAUGAGUUCGCCUCUUUUAUCAAACCAAACCCUAAUUUCAUCAAAUCCUCAAUAAGUUACAAUAUCCUUUUUAUAUCAUCUUCGAUCACCAUUGGUGUAAAUCUAUACAUGUAGCUAUUAAUUAGCAUUUGACUUGUGUGCUAUGUCUUUUGUUUUUCAAUCACAUUAACAAAAUUGAAGUUUUAUGUAGCAAUUAUUGUUUAUUUUGCAUGAGCUGUUGCAAAUCUAUGUUUUUUAAAUAACUUGUAGGUUUAAUUAAAGAGAACAAAAAAGUUAUGGUUAUGACUUUUGAAUGAAAGUUGAACUCAUUGGGGCAUUUCAUCGAAUACGUGGUGUGCAAGAUUCGUGAACAAGUGGAAUUGAUAGGAGACUUAGCUGAUUGCUGGGUUUGUGAGUGUGGUUUUAAGAGAAAGAAUGCAUGAGACAACUUGGUCCUCCCAUGUCUAAAAGAUGACAAAAAACGGUUCAAAUAUCACUGACGACGGUGAUGGUAUGGGUUAGCGACAAUGAAGACGAUGGUGGUUCGGGCGAAUGGCAUGGUGUCUGUUGGUGUCGCAUCAGACCUGAUAUCCGGCGACAUUAGAUAAACUCCGGCGAAUGGCUAGAGCUCCUAUGGCUCAAUAUAGCGGUUUUGGUCUUCCGUAAUUAGGGUUUAAUAAUUCAAAUGUGACCAACCAAAAACUACAACCAGAAGCUUCUGUCUACUGUGGAUGUAUUAUUUCGCGAAAUUUAGGUUUCAGUUGAUCAAUACCUGGUGUUCCUAGGCUUGCUUCUUCACUGAUGGGAUUGCCAUUUAAGUUGUUGCUGCUGUUGCUGCCGAUCUUGCAAAAUAGUUAGCUCUAUCUCUAUGACCCGUUCAUCUUUAGGAUACUGAAUUUUCAUAUUCAUUACUUUGUUGUAUAAGUUAAUGAUUACCCUUGUAGGAAAUGCCAACUGGUUUAUGAGUUCUGUAGCGGUGUUUUAAAUAAAAAAAGUAGCACUUCCUUAGCAUAAUCAUCAUAUAUAAUCUCGAAACUUUUGGAGUGGUGAGUCUUGAUUGUGAAACAGUUUCAAAUGGAUGGAACUGUCAGUCUGUUACAACCUAAGCAAAGUAUUUUGUUGGAAUUGUAAUCUAUCAGCAUUAUUAUGUUUCGUCGUAAGUAUUAUUAUGUAUAUGUAUAAUUAUUUAAGAUAUGAAAA